rnacentral:rRNA from 1 species
GACAGAGGUGCCGAGCGUUAGGCGGAAUCACUGGGCUUAAAGCGUGUGUAGGCGGGUCGUUAAGUACCUUGUGAAAUCCCACGGCUUAACCGUGGAACUGCUCGGUAUACUGGCGAUCUUGAGCCACUUAGGGGUCAGCGGAACAAAUGGUGGGGCGGUGAAAUGCGUAGAUAUCAUUUGGAACGCCAAUGGUGAAAACAGCUGACUGGGAGUGUGCUGACGCUGAGACACGAAAGCCAGGGGAGCGAACGGG